UGCAUGGCCGUUCUUAGUUCGUGGAGUGAUCUGUCUGCUUAAUUGCGUUUCAACAUAUUUAUUUAUGUUUGUACACCGAUACUAUUUGAUCAUUUAGUUGGUCUAGUAUUUUAGUUGUGCUUUCAUAUUUGAACGCAACGGACGUGAUUGCAACCCCUUGUUGAAUUGGCACUUACUGCAAUUCACUUUCAUUGGUCCUUUAUUGAACCUUUGGGAAAACUCGGGGACCGCUA
rnacentral:rRNA from 1 species